ensembl:rRNA 5S_rRNA 5S ribosomal RNA
AUCUGUGACCAGAUUUCUCUGAACAUGCCAGGUCUCAUUUGAUCCUGGAAGCUAAGUAGGGUUGGUCGGGUAUGCUCAGUAUGUGGAUGGGAGAUGAGCAAGUAUUGUGCUGAUA